AUUGAACGCUGGCGGCAGGCCUAACACAUGCAAGUCGAACGGUAACAGGAAACCGCUUGCUGUUUCGCUGACGAGUGGCGGACGGGUGAGUAAUGUCUGGGAAACUGCCUGAUGGAGGGGGAUAACUACUGGAAACGGUAGCUAAUACCGCAUAACGUCGCAAGACCAAAGAGGGGGACCUUCGGGCCUCUUGCCAUCGGAUGUGCCCAGAUGGGAUUAGCUAGUAGGUGGGGUAACGGCUCACCUAGGCGACGAUCCCUAGCUGGUCUGAGAGGAUGACCAGCCACACUGGAACUGAGACACGGUCCAGACUCCUACGGGAGGCAGCAGUGGGGAAUAUUGCACAAUGGGCGCAAGCCUGAUGCAGCCAUGCCGCGUGUAUGAAGAAGGCCUUCGGGUUGUAAAGUACUUUCAGCGGGGAGGAAGGGAGUAAAGUUAAUACCUUUGCUAAUUGACGUUACCCGCAGAAGAAGCACCGGCUAACUCCGUG
rnacentral:rRNA from 1 species